CAGCCGGGUAAUUCCAGCUCCAAUAGCGUAUAUUAAAGUUGUUGCAGUUAAAAAGCUCGUAGUUGAAUUUCGGGAUCAAUAUAUCGGUCGUGCCUUGGUACGUACUGGUAUCAUUGGUUUCUCCUUUCUGACGAACCAUGAUGUCAUUAAUUUGGUGUUAUGGGAAGUUAGGACUGUUACUUUGAAAAAAUUAGAGUGUUUAAAGCAGGCUUUAGCUUGAAUACAUUAGCAUGGAAUAAUGAAAUAGGACGUUCGAACCUAUUUUGUUGGUUUCUAGGAUCAACGUAAUGAUUAAUAGGGAUAGUUGGGGGCAUUAGUAUUCAAUUGUCAGAGGUGAAAUUCUUGGAUUUAUUGAAGACUAACUACUGCGAAAGCAUUUGCCAAGGAUGUUUUCAUUAAUCAAGAACGAAAGUUAGGGGAUCGAAGACGAUCAGAUACCGUCGUAGUCUUAACCAUAAACUAUGCCGACUAGGGAUCGGAUGAUGUUAAUUUUUUAAUGACUCAUUCGGCGCCUUACG
rnacentral:misc_RNA from 1 species